rnacentral:rRNA from 1 species
GACGAACGCUGGCGGCGUGCUUAACACAUGCAAGUCGAACGGAAAGGCCCUGCUUUUGUGGGGUGCUCGAGUGGCGAACGGGUGAGUAACACGUGAGUAACCUGCCCUUGACUUUGGGAUAACUUCAGGAAACUGGGGCUAAUACCGGAUAGGAUCUCCUGCUGCAUGGUGGGGGUUGGAAAGUUUCGGCGGUUGGGGAUGGACUCGCGGCUUAUCAGCUUGUUGGUGGGGUAGUGGCUUACCAAGGCUUUGACGGGUAGCCGGCCUGAGAGGGGGACCGGGCACCUUGGGCCUGAGAUACGGACCAGACUGCUACGGGAGGCAGCAGUGGAGAACAUGACACAAUGGGCGGAAGCCUGAUGCGGCAGCGCCGCGUGCGGGAUGACGGCCUUCGGGUUGUAAACCGCUUUCGCCUGUGACGAGGAGUGAGUGACGGUAAUGGGUAAAGAAGCACCGGCUAACUACGUG